AGAGAGGGCCCCAAAGCAAACUCCUGCUUUCAGAAGGUCUGCAGGUGGGCCAGCUUCUUUGGGCAUCUCUAGGUGGGCUUGUUCCGGGAUAGCUGAGCUUUGAUCUCAGCCCUGAGAGCAGAGAAACGCGGAAGCAAGGAGAUUCAGGAAGAGAAGCCAGGUGUUGACCCCUAUGGCCUCCUCUGGGGAGAUGAAGAGAAGGCUCGUGGAGAGAAUGAAGACAGGAGGAGGAAAGACCUGCUUCUCAGCUGGAGGACUUUCAGGGCUAAGCACUAGCAUGGACCAAGGAGUCGCAAAUACAAACCACCUGACCUGAGUGCUGGGCCACUGAGACAGAUCAGGCUUAGCACAUCUGGAAUGGGCAGCACAUCUGGAAUGGGCUUGGGAUUUUCAUUCCCAGGCAGCUCAGGGAGGACCACUAAUGGCCAAAGAUGACAAGCAAGCAGCUGGGACCACUUAGGGACCUCUGAGAGCUUCGAAGGCACAGUGUCUGGGGACAGAGCGAGAGCCCCAGGCCAGGACAGAGGGAAGAUGAAGCAGGCUCUAGAGCUCAUCAAACGGAACUAACAACUAGAGGAAGGUCUGCAGGGCUUGACAGCCUCUGGAAGCCAAAGCUGAAUAAAUGACCAGAGGGUGAAUAAUACAUUAGGGCAGAUGGGGACGGUGGCAAAGUUAAAAAUCUCAUUUGACUCAAAGUAUAAAUGGAUGGAUUGGCAUGGAGAAAAAAAAGAAAAGAGAAUCACAGUGAAACCCAGGGUACUUUAAAAAGCAAGAGAAAGAUGCAUCACAGCAACGAACAGGAGAAAAAAAAAUAAAAACAAAACCAACAACCCAACCUUUCCCCAGUCAGUGAGAAAUGUGGGAGCUGGGCUGAAGACACUGAG
rnacentral:lncRNA from 1 species